rnacentral:lncRNA from 1 species
AAUUUGAUACCGCUGUAUUGUAAAGCUUCACUGUUUACGGAUUUAGCAUGAUAGAGAUAGCUUGUUUUUUAGAGAACAAAAAAAAGGAAAAAUUAAAAAGAGAAACUUUGGAAAGUUAUUUAUUUUCUCUAUUAUUUUGAUUUAUUUGGCCUGAUUUUUUAUCAGCGAAUAUUGAAAGAGUCUCUAUCAACUUUUUUCGCAUUCGUACUUGUAGGAAGAGAAAUUCCGAUCAUACAUUUGGAUGAUUUUCUAGUUAAUUCCGCACGAAGGACGGGAAUACGCUCUAUGACAGUACACUGCGUGCUUCCGGAUCAAAUUAUUUGACUUUCUUCUUCUACAAUUUAUUUUGAAUUUUAGCGCUCAACUGAAAAUUCAUUUACUAAUUUUCAUUACAAAAUUUAGUUAGAAAAUUAAUCACAAUGAAAUUUUCAGUACAAUUUUUUUUUUCCAACAAAUACCAAUAUUCGAACUUGAAUACUGGUACUCCCUCACUUAUUUAAGUACAUUCUCAAAGUUUCCCAAACUUCGAGAGUUUUAAUAGUAAAAACAGCUCAAGAAGUACGAGACUUCACCUCGGAUAUCAGUUCAUGGUAAUUAGUACAAAUACUUAGCCAGAGUUUGGCAGAACACAAAUGUUCUCUCGCUUGAACUUCUAUUGAGUACCGAUAUUCCUAAAAUUUCAGUAUCGAUAGUAAAGUAGAAAAUUCAUCAGUUGCGAAUUAGUUCUGAAACUAUAUUUCUUGCGUCAAAAUAUAUAGUUUCAACUCAACUCAAACUCUUUCAAAACUUCUCCAAUAACACCAUAAGUUACUCUGCACUGGACUUUAGUAAUUUGCAAA